UACGUAGGCAGCGAGCGUUGUUCGGAAUUACUGGGCGUAAAGAGUGUGUAGGCGGUGCUCCCAGUCUGUUGUGAAAUCUCCCGGCUUAACUGGGAGGGUGCAGCGGAAACUAGAGUGCUAGAGGGUGAGAGAGGUAAGCGGAAUUCCUGGUGUAGCGGUGAAAUGCGUAGAUAUCAGGAGGAAUACCGAUGGCGAAGGCAGGUCUCUGGGCUGACACUGACGCUCAUGCACGAAAGCGUGGGGAGCAAACAGG
rnacentral:rRNA from 1 species